UUAAAUUCACAUUGAAAUGUGUUGUUAUAUAUAAUGAUAUAAAAGGUGUUGAGCCAAAAACCAAAAAUUCAGUAAAGAUGUGCAGACUCUCAGGCAAACGCUUGUUUCUUUAAUUUCAUUUUCAUUAUUUCGAUGAGUGCCUGAUUUCACAAUGAUGCCUCACAUUUAUCUAAACUGGGUUGAUGGGGCAUUAAACAUUUUUAAUCAUUUACAGAUUUCCUGGCCUUACACGCAUAAUGUGAACCUGUCAGGAUGUUUAUGAUCUCUGGUACUUUGUCCAUUUGGUUAUAUUGUAUCUGGAAACAGUCUUGCCGUUUUAAACCCAUGAAUGAUCAUAAUUGCACCAAUGUGCCCCUUUUUGACUCUGUCAAGAAGAAAUGUGCAUGUAACUUGGUAAACAUUCAAUAAUCCUUCGGAAAUUAUUCCAACUGCUGAGGUGAGACUGGUGUGUAUUUGUUGAACAAUUGGUUUGUGUUUUUGUGUAGUGUAUGUGUGCGUUUAAAUAUUGUGUUCUGUUACGGCAAGAUGCACAUCUGCGUUGUUUGUUUGUUCAUUUGUAUGCAUUUUUGUCUUCUCAGGUCAGUGCAGCGGAAAGUUGAAGAUUAUCUAGUGUCAGCAGGAAUUAACAGACAGACGCCAUUGCUCCUUAACAGCAAGCACCAGCUACUUCUCUCAACUGAUGCUAAUGCAACAGGAUAGGAGGACUGCUUUUUGGAAUGUUUUGGUAUUAUACAAUAACAGAAUUGGAAAUAUUAGGAUUUGAUAAGGGAUGUUCCAUGGGAACUCAAUUGGCCCCUUUAGAAAAGAUAAGAAGAAGUAAAUUGUGCCCUCUUAUUUAGAAGUACAUGUACUUUGAUAGUUUGAGGACUGCUAAAUGGAUUUCAGUAGUUUUCUGGAAUGGCAGAAUAAAUUUCAGUUGUCUGUUUGAGAGGUUACAGGUUUCAUUUCCUGUAUGCGUCUGAUUCAUUCGCUUUCUCUCAUUUUGCAUAACUUGCCAUCUUUCACUUUCACCUUCAUCUUAUUCUUUAUCACCAUUUCUCUGCUAUUCUCUCCAUCUCUUCCUCCCUCCCGCCUUAUCUCAAUCACCCUCUCUCCUUAUCCAUUUCUCCUCCUCUCUCUCUCUUAAAAUAUCAGAGAUCUCAGAUUCCAAAAAUUUUGUUUCUUGAAUGAACUUGUAUUAUCUGUGUGACAGAAGCAGUUUUUUAUAUGAGCUUUUCAGCAAUGGGCUUUGGUUCUGAGUACAAGUUGUUUUAUUUUUUUGUCAUUUUACGUUGACUUUGAGCCAAAUUCCUAUAGUGUGCAUGUUAAUAAGAGAGUGAAAUGGAUGAUAAAAAUGUUGAGUGAUUGGUUAGUUAGUUAUAGGCCACAGUGCGGUCAGUGGAAGAAAAGAAAAA